CCUACGGGAGGCAGCAGUGAGGAAUAUUGGUCAAUGGGCGCGAGCCUGAACCAGCCAAGUAGCGUGAAGGAUGACUGCCCUACGGGUUGUAAACUUCUUUUAUAAAGGAAUAAAGUGAGGCACGUGUGCCUUUUUGUAUGUACUUUAUGAAUAAGGAUCGGCUAACUCCGUGCCAGCAGCCGCGGUAAUACGGAGGAUCCGAGCGUUAUCCGGAUUUAUUGGGUUUAAAGGGAGCGUAGAUGGGUUGUUAAGUCAGUUGUGAAAGUUUGCGGCUCAAACGUAAAAUUGCAAUUGAUAAUGGCAGUCUUGAGGACAGGUGAGGGAGGCGGAAUUCGUGGUGUAGCCGUGAAAUGCUUAGAUAUCACGAAGAACUCCGAUUGCGAAGGCAGCUUACUAAACUGCCACUGACAUUGAUGCUCGAAAGUGUGGGUAUCAAACAGGAUUAGAUACCCGAGUAGUC
rnacentral:rRNA from 1 species